AAUUUAUUUUCCAUACACAGACCUGCUUGCUUUCACAUACACAUCUAACUUCCAUGGCGUUUCAGUCACCUCGAAGAGCUGUUUUUUUAAAAAAUGUUUUUUUUUUUUAAUUUAAAUAAAGAGUAGGUUGGCGUAAGCAAUGACCGCAUACAUGUAAUAGAGAAAUAAUAUUAUAUAAUAAUAUUCCGUCUCAAAACCUUUAGACCUUGGAUAUCAGUAUUUUAUUGUAUCAUUGUACACGUAGAGUAUAAUUCGAUGGAAAACUAUUUCACAAAAAACGGGAACUUGAAACGUAUAGAAAUGUAAUAAAUUCCAAAAGCUAAAAGGCAAUAACUACAUCAUUUAUUUAUUUAUUUAUUUAUAUCUAAGCGUUAUGAAUUUCCGAGUCGGCGUAUCUCGUAUUUGGCACAUACUGAAAUGGGAAGACUUCUUCAGAAGAUGAAGGAUGUACAUGUUAACAUGGGUACAGGACAGAAAAUGGUCAGAUAAGUGACAGUUAAACAUUGAACGACAUUUUAAGGUAGGCUUUAAUUUUUUUUUCUUCUUCUUUUAACCAAAAAAACAAACAAAAAAAAACAAAAAAAAACAAAAAAAGCAUAGAGUGGAGGACGGCCAUGCUGAUUUCCUAAUAUUCCCGUUUUGCUCACGUCAUUGCUGAGUACAAAGUCGUAACAGUGACCUCGUGUGUGAGGCCUAGAAAAGGCGUCUACUACGUCCCUCUCAUCCUCCUUUCUGUCGUGUCCUCCAUCUUUGCUAUGUGUACUCGGCAAGGAAACAAAACAAGCGGGAAUUUCGGAAAAAGUCGAAUUCUUAAGUCUCGAAAUGUGAAGUUAAGUAAAGCUAUACAUGGGUCAAAACAAACAAACAAACAAACAAACAAACAAAAACACAACAGAUAAUGUGUUCUAAACGAAUAUAACAGAAAGCGCUGUUUGUUUUCGUUUUUUUUUUCAGAAAUGGCAUCCAUACGUGGAUAGAUCCCGUCGGAACGGGAUGUAACAGCGUGCAAAAGUCACGCGUGUAGGGGGUUUUUAUUUUCAUGAGGCGCAGGCGCACAUGUCCGUUUAAGUCCCAAUUAUGACCUGGAGUGAUGUAGCUGAGGUUGAGGAACUGUCAAAUGUCUGAAUUCACACACCAUGCUGUCAUGCUCUUCUCAAAAACAAGAACAACAACAACAAAAAAAUUCAUAAAAAAAAAAAAAAAAGGUUUAAGCCACACCCAUUUAAAACCCAGAUUUAAACCCAAAUACAGAUACCAAUAUACGGAGCAUGAAAUACAUUCUGUUCUUGGUAUUAGAACAGUAAUGCGAAUAUUUACUCCGAAUUGUUCCCUUCAGAACGUUACUUCUUUCUCAAUAUGAACUGUAACUAAACAUGUUUGAAAGCUAAAUUCAGUGGAAUGCUAUUUGAUAUUUAUGCAUAUUAAUACAUUUCUGUAAAAUGAAAAGCCUUGAGGCAACCCCCCGAAAAAACCCCCCUUUCCUAAAGUCUUGUCUUUGACCCAUAUACCUAUAUAUAAAUAUGAUUUUGAUGAACGAAGAAUCAAUGAUUUUGUCAGCUUUAGCACGCGAACGAUGCUAAACACAACCGUAGCCAGGUGUAUGAGAUUACGUCCAGAUCGCUGCGAUCGGGUUCCUUACGAUCGUGAUGUGAGCGUCGCGUAUAUAAAUCGGUACCUUUUUAAAGAUGCGUGUAAGAAACGCCUCGUAGAGGGGUACGUGACGUUCCUUUGGCGGAAGAUUUGACGAGGUAAAUUUGCUAAAAAAAAAAAAAAAAAAAAAAAACAUAAUAGAAGUGAAAUAUCGUAUCAAGCGGUAUGAUGCACAGAUAUCACGCGCUGAAGAUUACGUGUGGUUAAUAGGAUUAAACUAAGUAUUCGGUCAUUAACAGAUGCGGCAAUGCAUUAUGAUUUGUGUUCUUUUUUUUUCUUCUUCUUAGCAUGCUUUCUUUAAUAUUACAGAAAUGAUAACGUGGUUAGCGUAUUCGCGGCGUUCUCGGAUGUCCUGCGUGGGAAAACGCACUAAAUAGUCAGUCGGUUAGGUGGAUUUAGUUUGGUCUAGCUCGUCGUUUAAUACACAUGAAAGGAAUACUUACAGGACCUACUCGCUCUUUGAGAAAAAAUAAAAUAAAAAGACCCUACGAACGAAUCUCGCACACUUCUUUCCUUCGUCGUCAUUAGCCCGACGAGCACAUUCACCUUGUCGGCUUGUAUGGUUCCUUGGUUUUUUUUUUUUUUUGCUUCUUGUUACAGAACACCAGAUGUGUCAUAAAGUCUAAAACAUAACGGAUUCCCAGGGUUGCCAAGGUCACACCAUUUUUAUUUAUUUAUUUUUUUUUACUACAUGUUCAGGAUUUAUUUAUUUAUUUAUUUCUUCUUGAUUUAAAGCAAAUAAUUCGAAUGAAAUCUAAUUUCCGACAUAAGCAAUUGCAAACAAAGGGUGUAAAAGUGUAAGAGCAGACAGUGUAUCUAUGAUGUACUGGAACAGUAAGGGGGAUUAUAGAGAGGAUAAUGUGUGUUACAGGUGAAUUAAAAGAUGUGUUGCAGAUACUGUCCAUCAGAAAUGUUUCCGGAUUUCAAUUCCUCAAUUCCUUGGGCAGGUCAUAUUGUGUUUUUAUUUUAAAAUGUAUUUAUUUUACUUUCUUUUUUUUUCUUCAACGAUGUAGUUGGGCUAGAACUUCUGCUGAGACCUGGCAACCCUGCAGAUACCUGCCAUUGUUGCUAGUUUACAUCCUACAAAUAAGUAUAUGUUUGUGCUACAUAGUUAGCCAUAGGCGAGAUGCUUAGCGCUGGAAUAGCCGGGGAUCCCGGUGAGAUACAGAUUAGCGUAGCUGAUAUGAGAUGGCAGCGUUAUAGAAACAUUUUCAAACAAAUAAAGCUUGAAUGUCAAAAGUAGCCAACGACAAAGCGCUGCGGAUUAGAGUAACAGGCUGACGUUACAGUACACUGCAUUUUAGCUAAAGAUAACGUUAUUGCAGAUGUGAAGUUCAUUCAUUUCCGUAUGAAUAAACUGAACAAAACUAAAACGGCAACCAUAAAUAUGUCUCCUAGUUUGCAACUAUACAUAAUGUAGACUAUAUUAGGAUGCUAAAACUGCUAUUCAGAAGCUUGUGUACAGAGUUUACCACAGGUUAACUGAAGAGAAGAACGCUCUCUGCUCCAGAUUAGCCAAACUAGCAGCUUUUGAUGCUUUCUUGUCAGGGAACAAAAAAAAAUAAAAAAAAAACACGUGAGUGAUGGAAAGGACACCGCUGUCUGAGGUGAUUUUUAUUUAAAAACUUUUCAGUUAGCGCUAUAGCAUAGCUAAGUGGACAUGAAGUACAAAUAUCCCCGCGUUACUUGCCGAAUCAUCCGUACGCUAGCUCUGUCGCAAGUGCUACUGUACCAUUUAUGACUAGCUAGUCCUUAAGUAGAACGUCAGCCGUUCACAUUAGUACAAUAGCAUACGCUGUUAUUUCCUGUACUAGCCUACAUGCUGCUAGCAUAACAGAUACCGCUAAGUUAGUAUAUUUAGCUAUCUGUAACUUUUAUAGCUGGAGAUUGGAUUUGUUUUGAAUUCCUGUACUUUGUCAGGUUACGCUGGGAAUGCUAAUACACCGCUAAUUACUGUAUUAGCUAUUAGUUGAAUAAGCUAACACAGUUAGCUUAUUCUCUUUUUUUUGUAUUCAAAUAUUUUUUAAGAUUUCCUUCUAAUAUUCUUGGAAAUUGCUGAUUCUAAGAGUGACUUCUAUUAAGAAUACUAGCGUCCUUUUAUUUAUUUAUUUGAUUUUACACACCAACAAAAGCAUUCUAAUUCUGAAUGAAAUCCGUCUGUAAUUGAAAACAUGGGGUUAUGUGACCCCUUUUUUUGUUUUUCAUUUUGGAUAUUUUUUGUGAUGAGCGAUUCUUUGAUAUCAUACCGUUAUCGUAAUGCUAUGACAUCACAGAAUCCCUUCUUGUAACCCGAAGAUGUAUCCAGGCAACCACGUUAUAGAAACGUGGUCUUGAGUGAGGAGAGCGUCGGCUUGACUGUACCUACGAGGGAUCCAGGGAUGUACUAUAAGUGAAUAUCAAUGAGAUUCAGGGUUUCAAUCCAGUACAAGCUUUAAAAAGUACAAAUAAAUACAAAAGCAUGUCGGACGUCCCUCAGUAAAAGAAAGUGGUUCUGCUCAAACUGAGGCUGCUUCCAUGGACAUUUUGGUAUUUGUCAAAAAACACGACCUUACCUUUGAAUCCAACAAGAACAUGUUGACCAGAACCAUGGCACCAACAUAUAGCACUACUAGAUGGAAGUUAAACCUUUGAAGGAACAUACUCCGAUGUAACUGUCAGCCAACAGGAGACGGUCUGAGGCAGGGCUUCAGUCAUUUCUGCUGAUCCUGACUACGAUGGAGGAUGGUUGCUCACAUCCAGAGCUUACUGAUAACUUUUCAAAACUUUACAGAGCUCACAGUGAACCUUGACCUGCUACUCCUUUGGUGUGUGUUGAACAAGAAGACAUCUAUUUUUUUUUUUUUUUCUUUGAACAGAUUUAUAAUAGUAGCUUGAUGACCGGAAUACAGCAAGCUAUGAUAGAGAAAUGUACUACUAAUGAAGUAAAACAUGAUUAUCAUACAUGGAUAAUUAUCAGACUGUCCAUGUGAAUUUAGCUAUUAAAAUGGAAAAUUAAAAAUAAAUGAAAAUACAUUCUCCAACCUCAGUGAGGUUUUGUUUGGGAAUUUUCUCUAACGUUGGUAAGUUUUUUUGGGGAAUUUUCUCUAACGUUCACAAG
ensembl:lncRNA